rnacentral:rRNA from 1 species
AACGAACGCUGGCGGCAUGCCUAACACAUGCAAGUCGAACGAGACCUUCGGGUCUAGUGGCGCACGGGUGCGUAACGCGUGGGAACCUGCCCUUAGGUUCGGAAUAACUCCCCGAAAGGGGUGCUAAUACCGGAUAAUGUCUUCGGACCAAAGAUUUAUCGCCUUUGGAUGGGCCCGCGUUGGAUUAGCUAGUUGGUAGGGUAAAAGCCUACCAAGGCGACGAUCCAUAGCUGGUCUGAGAGGAUGAUCAGCCACACUGGGACUGAGACACGGCCCAGACUCGUACGGGAGGCAGCAGUGGGGAAUAUUGGACAAUGGGCGAAAGCCUGAUCCAGCCAUGCCGGGUGAGUGAUGAAGGCCUUAGGGUUGUAAAGCUCUUUUACCCGGGAUGAUAAUGACAGUACCGGGAGAAUAAGCUCCGGCUAACUACGUG